CCUGCUUCUUGUGCCUGCUAGAUCCUCCACGGGCUGGUCGGGCUAGUGAUGUCGCUGGUGUCGGCCACGCUGCCGCAGAUCCGAUCGCGCCUCUUCGUCACCUAGGGCAUCCUCUGGAGCUUCCCUGAGACCAGGACACACAUCCUGGUGAGCUCCUUGGUAAUCAGCUGGUCCAUCACCGAGGUCACGAAGUUGAAGUCCAUAUAGAUCACCACAAACCGAGCAAACAUGCCACAAGUAAAUAGUGUUGGAGGCUCUAGCAACAGCAUUGUUAGAGAAUUUUGCCGAGAGGUGGGAUAAUGAUUUUGCAGGUACCCCGAGUGGCCCUUGGGUUAGCCGGAAUGCCGAUUAAC